UACGUAGGGUGCGAGCGUUGUCCGGAAUUACUGGGCGUAAAGAGCUCGUAGGUGGUUUGUCGCGUUGUUCGUGAAAACUCACAGCUUAACUGUGGGCGUGCGGGCGAUACGGGCAGACUGGAGUACUGCAGGGGAGGCUGGAAUUCCUGGUGUAGCGGUGGAAUGCGCAGAGUAUCAGGAGGAACACCGGUGGCGAAGGCGGGUCUCUGGGCAGUAACUGACGCUGAGGAGCGAAAGCGUGGGGAGCGAACAGG
rnacentral:rRNA from 1 species